GACAGAGGGUGCAAACGUUGCUCGGAAUUACUGGGCGUAAAGGGCGCGCAGGCGGCCCACCAAGUACGAUGUGAAAUCUCCCUGCUCAACGGGGAGGGUGCACUGUAAACUGGUGAGCUAGAGGACGGUAGAGGGAUGCGGAAUUCCAGGUGUAGCGGUGAAAUGCGUAGAUAUCUGGAGGAACACCGGUGGCGAAGGCGGCAUCCUGGACCAAUAUUGACGCUGAGGAGCGAAAGCCAGGGGAGCAAACGGG
rnacentral:rRNA from 1 species